AAGGCUUUAAGUUAAAUAAACUAAUAGCCUUCAAAGCUAUAAAUAUAGGAAUGCCUUUAAGCCUUA
rnacentral:tRNA from 2 species